rnacentral:rRNA from 1 species
GAUAAACGCUGGCGGCGUGCAUAACACAUGCAAGUCGAACGAUGAACCUUAAUUGAUUUCUUCGGAAUGAAAAUAAGUGGAUUAGUGGCGAACGGGUGAGUAACACGUGAGUAACCUGCCUUACACAAGGGGAUAGCCUUUGGAAACGAAGAAUAAUACCCUAUAAAGUUAGUCAAUCGCAUGGUAGACUAACCAAAGAUUUAUCGGUGUAAGAUGGACUUGCGUCUGAUUAGCUAGUUGGUGAGAUAAAAGCCCACCAAGGCGACGAUCAGUAGCCGGCUUGAGAGAGUGUACGGCCACAUUGGGACUGAGACACGGCCCAAACUCCUACGGGAGGCAGCAGUGGGGAAUUUUGCACAAUGGGGGAAACCCUGAUGCAGCGACGCCGCGUGAUUUAGAAGGCCUUCGGGUUGUAAAAAUCUUUUUUAUGGGAUGAAAAUGACAGUACCAUAAGAAUAAGGUCCGGCUAAAUACGUGCCAGCAGCCGCGGUAAUACGUAUGGACCGAGCGUUGUCCGGAAUCAUUGGGCGUAAAGGGUACGUAGGCGGCCUAGUAAGUUAGAAGUGAAAUAAUAUAGCUCAACUAUAUAAAGCUUUUUUAACUGUUAGGCUUGAGACAUGAAAGGGAAAGUGGAAUUCCCAGUGUAGCGGCGAGAUGUGCACAUAUUACGAAGAUAUCUGC